UACGUAGGUCCCGAGCGUUGUCCGGAUUUAUUGGGCGUAAAGCGAGCGUAGACGGCAGAGCAAGUCCGGAGUGAAAGCCCGGGGCCCAACCCCGGGACUGCUCUGGAAACUGUUAAGCUGGAGUGCGGGAGGGGCAGGCGGAAUUCCUGGUGUAGCGGUGAAAUGCGUAGAUAUCAGGAGGAACACCGGCGGCGAAGGCGGCCUGCUGGACCGUGACUGACGUUGAGGCUCGAAAGCGUGGGGAGCAAACAGG
rnacentral:rRNA from 1 species